UCUGCAAACUUUACAAUGUUGUUGGAACUAUGUACUAUACUAUACUAUAUGUACUAACUAGGAGAGGGCUCAGCACACAGUCCUGUGGGACACCGGUGUUCUGGAUGAAGGUUGAGGAGGUGAUGUUCACUAACCUGACAGAUUGGGGUCUGUUGGUUAGGAAGUCCACUAUUGUUGGUUGAUUGUUCUCUGGUGUAAUCAGCAGGGUUCGUGGUUUCUAACAACGACCUAACAUCUGCUAUUAAAGAUAUUGCGCAGCGGCUGAGCAGACAAUGAAGUCUACUCCUUUCUCCUUUGGUGACGUAGCUGAGCCAACCGUGUGUUCAGCGCAUAUCAGUGUAUGUUUACAUGCUGGUUACAGCUGUCAACGCCGUCCCAAAUCAAGUUGUCUUUGCUAAAGCGAACCGCCGAUUCUCUGAUCCCUCUUCAGGAAGCAACAGUUUGCUCCGUCUCCAUUGUUGCUGUUUUUUUGCGUUGUUCGCGCCGUUAGCACUGUUAGCUCUGAGGGCUGUUACUUAGCGAGGCGACUGUGGCAGGAGAACAGGCAGUGCAAGAAAAUGACCCAGUCAUUAACCACUGAAACUAAAAUGUGCUACCAGCAAUAUCCCCCCGAGAUAUACUACGUGAUGUCAUGAAAUCAGAUCUGAACUUCAAAGACCCCAACUUCCUCUACUGCGGUUCAAGUGUUGCCUUGUGUUUACGUGUGUGCGAGCGUGCAUGUGUAGGCUGUGUGUAUGUAUGUUGUAGAUAUUAGUACAAAAAAACUCUUAAAAUAAUUUGCCGUCUCUGAGUAUGAAAACUCACUUGACCAGAGUCCACUUUAUCAAGACUUUGGAAGACUAUUCCAUUUUUGAUUCGUUUUCUGUGCGUAAAAUGUCUUAAAAAAGCGACUAGCUCUUCCUAAAUGUCCUUAGAUUAUGUAAGUAAAAGCGCCAUUUGCUGAGUUCCUCGUUGUCUGCACCACAUGUCCAUAAACCACUUUGAAGACUUCCGUUCCGGGAGGUGCUUGUAUAUAAUUUAUGUUUGUGCAAGUUCCUGUCUACAGUUUGCUCGUCUCAGGCACACACUGCCAGAACACUGCUACUUCAGUAGACAAAUCAGACCAAAGGAUUCGACACACCAAGGCAGCUCAAAUAAGUCAGCAAUACCAGCGAUUCAAGGCCCGGCUCACAGGGGCUGCAAGCUGCCCGAUUCUUCUGUCAUGGUUGACCACAUUGUCUUAAAGCCUCUCGGGUUAGUUUUGAUUGUAACAGCUCAGAUGGUUUUCAACGGCCCCACCACAGUGCAGGUCACCGGGAACCUCGGCAAGAACAUCUCCUUUCCAUUCACAUUUAAUAUCAGUGUCACAGAAAAGCUUGCAGUUUACUCAACAAACCACACAAAGGUUGCUGAGUAUUUGAAGGGCACAACUUCAUCAAAUGAGGGCGAUUUUCACCUCUACCCUGAAAGCACUAUUGUGAUAUGCCACAUUACUAAUCUCAAACUCCACCACAGUCAAAUAUACUGGGCCACUCUGUUCAUGGACUCAGGACUUGCCAUUGAAAGUAAUAAGAUCCAGCUGAUUGUCCGAGGGGGGAAUCAGCACGGAAACAGAAACAGCACAGUUCCUCCCAUGAUGAAUGCCACCGCAGAAAUAGAAGGUGGAAAUCAUAUUUUAUUUCCCUCAUACAUCGUCCUGGUCCUUGUGGUUUCAUCUGUGGUGCUGUUGGCUGCAGUACCUCCCUUUUUGAUUUGUUGUCUCCUAAGAACCAAAGACAAACAAACCACACCUCAACAACAAAGCUCCAAUGCCACAGUGCAAGAAACACUUGAGGCAUCCAACUAUGCACCCGCUCCCCCGCUGGUCUACAGCGUCCUGGAUUUUCCCAAAAGAUCUUCAGCAGUUUUGGAGCUUAAUCCGAGUGAUACAGAGUAUGCUGCUGUCAGCUACCUCCCAGAACAGAGACGAGUGUGACAUGCCGGUGAACCUAAACCAUCAAGUGUCUCUUGUGUUUGGGGGAAGACUAUAGGCUGGAUUAUCUACUGGACAAAGACGGCGCCUAGACCGUCAGUGGCAACAGGUGAGCUUGAGUGACGACUGACCACCGGCUGCAUACCCUCUGGUCCUGGACAGCACACAUCUCAUGCCAGGUUGUAAUGCUUCCCGUCAGGGUGCUUUCCUAUUGCUCCACUUUAAAUUGGUUUGGGCACCGACACAGAGGAAUCUUUCUAGCAAGAAGGGAAGCUGUACCUUCUAUUACACGUGUUGUCUCCACUUUAUCUGAAACUAUAACUAAUGGUUAUGUAUAAGAUGCAGGGAUUUUUAUUUUUCAAACACAAAUCCAGUAGCUCAAGGUAAAAGAAAAUGUACUGAACUUCUGAAAUGAUGACAUUAACGUGAAUACAUUUGUUAGGAAGGUUAGUUCACCGCUAACUUUUGAAGAAGUGUUUUCUUAGAUUUUUCUUGGGAUCGUUCAUCCGUCUGUUACCUCCCAUUUCAAUCUUUAGUCAACAAAAAAUAUCCCAACCCACAACAAUGGGAAUCUAGCUCUUAAAUAUCUGAAAGCAGUGUAAUGGGACAUUGAUGAACAAGCAAGAAGGAUCCUUCACGAGUUAUACCAAGGCCCUCAAGGCAUGUUUUAAUGAACAUAUCAAAUACUUUCAAUUAUAAUUAUUACGGAAAAAUGUACCCUGUUAGGAAGUCUCCAAAGUUACAAUAAUAACCUUAAAAGGUAAUCACAAACUGUUUCUGUCUUCCACUUCUUUGAGGUGAAGCUGGACUGAAUUUUCAUUUGCUGGAGUGCAUGUUUUUGUGCUCAACCUUUUGCACUUUGCGCAACAUAACACCUACCUCCCCUGUCCAGAGGAUGGGGGGAGGUAGACACGGCUUCUCCAUAACUGUGCUAUGAACAGUUGCAACAGAAGCAUUCAAAUCAUGAUUGCCAAAACAGCCCAAAUGAAAAGCAUUUUUUCUUCUUUUUCAUGUUGAUUGUAGAUCUGUAUAUAUAGAUCUAUAUAGCGAUCUAUAUACCUAUAGAUCUAUAAAAUACAAUCAAGAUAUUUGCAUACUGUGUAUAAGCAGUUUGUCACCUUAGGCAGGUCACAUUUAAGGGGAGGAACUCUGUAAAUCUUCGUGUAGCUACUUUUUGUUGUCGUGUAGCUAGAUCUUGUUUUAUACAUUCAACAUCAGCGGAAAGAUGGGAGGUUUCAAAAGUCACCUAAAUGCACCCAAUUUGUUUGGAACCAAUUUCCCCCAUUACUAUUCCUAAAUAUUCAUACCUUACACUAAUCUUACUCAUAACUUAGAGAUAUGUAAGUGGUUGCUAGGACACAAACCUACUUGCAUCUGUUUUUCGUUCCCGGGCCAAAACCAAUCAAAGAUAUAAAAAAUCUCCUUUCAACGCCAUCUUCUGUUUCUUCAUCCUGUUUUUGGAAGACGUUAAGGAAGCAAAACUAUUUUUACUGAUUAUUUUUACAUAUUUCACAUCCUCAGACGGCGCCGAGGCCAAAAAUUGGGAAAUGAAAAACGGCCAAUGUCUUUUCCGUCAGUCUUUGUUGCUUAAUUUCUGUUGGGAGUUUUGUUCCUGUGACUUGUAUGCUGUGUUAGCGUCCUGCCUUUGGACUGUAAUCAUUUAAAUUCUUCGAUUAUGUUAAUUUUCCGCUACUGCUUCCUUUCUUUAGCUGCAUUUGGGUGAUUCUACUACAUGUACUCCAAAACAUAAGAUCUCUUAUUAUAAACUCAACCUGGAAGUGUUAGAGACUCAGAUGGAGGAAUGUUUCCCUGGUUACACACCUUUUCUUUAACUUUCAUAAGAAAAACCAUGUCAAAACCAACAUUUGAAGUACAUUUGCAAGUCAUUUCAGUGAAAAUGCCUUUUCUGACAAAACUACUGCAGAAGGGAACCUUACCGCUGAAGAGAAAGUGAAACUCUUUGCUUGAAAAGCCAAAGCUGCAGCCGACACUGGUAUCUAGUGGCAGGUAAAAUAUCUAAAACCAAUCAUUUAUCAGGCACAACAUGUAAUUUAAGGCAUGACAAACAUCUGGACCAAAGUAUUAUUCAUACAUGGGUGUUUUUUCACAAUGAUUAUGAUUGAAAAGAUGAUUCUCAGAUUCUGUUAAAUAAAACAAAUGAGCAGGCAUCUGUUCUGCCAUCUGUUGGACAACGUCUGUCACAACAUGGGACAAAGUAAGCCACGCUCAAUAUAAGGUGAGUACAGGUAUUCCAAUAAAAACUGUGUCUACUGACUUAAAGUCCACGUGUCCUACAAAUAAGAUUCCCAGCUGUACAGUACUAACCCUUGCAGGGUGUUCAUCGUUUUGUUACUCAGUCGGUGUUGUGGGGCUAUUUUUGGCGGUUUUAAUGCAACAAAAUCAAAAAAUCCCAAUUAGAAGCAAUAUAAACAGAAAAUAUGGUUAAUAUUGGGGAGCUCAUGCCUUUUGAACACGAAAGUCCAAUGGACCCGAACCAUGUAACAUGCAACACAUAUGUAGUAGAAAUGUGUAGGGGGGGUUACGGUGCGCGGUCGCUGAAAAUGUGUUCUGAUCUAUGUUCUUCGCAGAAAAUGUGUUUGAAUAAAUAAUGAAUUAUAUUAUUUUUGUAUUGAUAAAAAUCCCAUAAGUCCCUAGGACACAAACACCAUACAAGGGUUAAUAUACACACACACACACAGUUGUAAAUAUUCUUCCCAGCACAUCACUUUUGUCAAAUGUCAGCAGUCUGUCUGUGGUCUAUGGCGUCAGUUUAAUGACAAAACUCACACUCGGUUUUGGCAGUGUGUGGGCGGGAACCAAAGGAGGGCGGGCUCUUCUCUGAUUGGUCCUGGUCGUUGAGGCUUUGACAGAGUCUCGUAGGCACGUCACUCACUUCAACCAAACUCCGAUCAUAGAUCUUCUCUGUGAGGUGUACCCAAAGUUGCGUGACCAAGAGCGGGCAUGGAUGUUGCACAAAGCAAUGGGAGGGUCUGGACAAAGGCGACUCAUGUUAGUGUCACCUGACGAGUCUGGUUACACCGGGGCUGGCCUAGUGAAAUCCUGGGGAGGCAAGGGGUGCCUAUAUAUCAUGCCUAUCCAGCAUGUGCUGGACACAUCUCCCCUUCCCUUUUCCGCCAUGGAGUUCAGCGCCAUGCCCAAGGCCAAAUGUGUGACAUGCCACCAGGAGGUGCCAUUGCAACUCCUCAGCCUCCAUGCGGAAACAUGCUGCAAUAAUAUUGAGGAGUGACACGACCGACAAUCACAGGGAGAUGACAGGACAAGGCAGGAAGUGACGUUACCCAGGGAGACAAGAAGCAAGAAACUACAAAAUAAAACAGGACAUGAACCCAAACCGUGACACAAUGCAUCUUUUAAUAAACAUAUCAAAUACUUACAAUUAUAAUUAUUCCGUAAAAAUGGACCCUGUUAGGAAGUCUCCAAAGUUACAAUAAUACCCUUAAAGGUAAUCACAAACUGUUUAUGUCUUCCUCUUCUUUGAGGUGAAGCUGGACUGGAUUUUCAUUUGCUGGAUUUAGGGAGCUCAGGCUUUUUGAACACGAAUGUCCAAUGCACCCGAACACCAUGUAACAUGCAACACGUAUGUAGUAUAAAUGUGUAGGGCGGGUUAUGGUGCGCGGCCGCUGAAAAUGUGUUCUGAUGUAUGUUCUUCUCAGAAAAUGUGUUUGAAUUUGAAGUUUGAAUAAAUAAUGAAUUAUA